UGUCGAUAAUAGCAAACUUAUCGAAAGGUAAGGACGCAAAGCCAUGGGUCUAAGGAAUAAUCAUUCUAUGAUUGCCAGGUUGCCGAA
rnacentral:ncRNA from 1 species